rnacentral:rRNA from 1 species
AACGAACGCUGGCGGCAGGCCUAACACAUGCAAGUCGAGCGCCCAGCAAUGGGAGCGGCAGACGGGUGAGUAACACGUGGGAACCUUCCCUAUAGUACGGAAUAGCCCAGGGAAACUUGGAGUAAUACCGCAUACGCCCGAGAGGGGAAAGAUUUAUCGCUAUAGGAUGGGCCCGCGUAGGAUUAGCUAGUUGGUGAGGUAAUGGCUCACCAAGGCGACGAUCCUUAGCUGGUCUGAGAGGACGACCAGCCACACUGGGACUGAGACACGGCCCAGACUCCUACGGGAGGCAGCAGUGGGGAAUAUUGGACAAUGGGCGCAAGCCUGAUCCAGCCAUGCCGCGUGAGUGAUGAAGGCCUUAGGGUUGUAAAGCUCUUUGCCGGGGACGAUAAUGACGGUACCCGGAGAAUAAGUCCCGGCUAACUUCGUGCCAGCAGCCGCGGUAAU